UCAGAGUAGAAGCUGAGGUGGG
rnacentral:misc_RNA from 1 species